CCUCUCCAUCAGCGCCGCUCCUCCCCCCAGCCCCUGCUUCGGGUCACCUGGGAGCCAGGGGCGGGGCUUCCUGCAUACUCACUUUCUUUGGGUCACUGGUAGCGUGAUGAAGGAAGCGCCGAUGCAGGGUCAGCUGGAAGGCUUUGUGCAGUUUCCUCCUGAACUCCUGGGUGUCGGCUGCCUGAUGGACCAAAUGUGCAGAAUCACUGAGUGUCCCGACUUGAAGGGGCCCUAGACAUCAGAAAGUCCAGGUCCUUCUCUGCUGCCUACUGACAUGCCUUAAAGGACCUCAGCAGGCCCUGGCAGCCCCCCAGCUGUCACCCCUGAUCUCUGCUUCCUUCAUAGCCAGGCUCCCAGAGCAGGGGCCUCCCUGCUGCCUCCCUCCCUCUGAAGCCUCUGCAGGUGCCCCUGAUCAUCACUCAACUGACACGGCCCCUCCAUCUUCAGCUACUGCCACGCUCCACGGCCUAUUCUCAGGCCUCUGGCUCCUCCUGGAUCUGGACACGGCCCUCUCGGUUCUAUCUACCCAACCAGUCCUUCUUAGGACACCUGGUUGGUCAUCCGUAUCAUGCCCCGACUGUGGGUGUGCCCCACGAUUCUGCUCCGCCCCUCUCUCACUUGACUUCAUCAGCCCCCUCUGCCCAUCCCUCCCAAAUCGACAUAUCCAGGCCUAGUUGUUCUCCUGAUAGUGAAAACAAUAGUUAACAUUUGUGUGCACUUUAAAGUUUCAAAGCACUUUAUAAUUAUUAUUUCACUUGGUUCUCACAACUCUGGGAGGGAGAGGCUAUCCUCACCCCCAUUUUACAGACUCACAUAAGUAAGUGGGCAUGGAAUGCCUCAAAGGAGUGGAGGCGGAAGAGAAGAGGUCAGACUGGAGCAGCAGGGGGGCAGGGUCACAGAAGGGAGGCAGGUGUUAGGAAGGAGAAAGGCAACGUCCAAGAUGAGAGAUCACUGAGAACAGGGACAGGGCAGACCCUGGGCAGAAGCAGAGGAUGAGGGGCUGAGAGGGCUCUUGCUGGGGCCUGGCAGGGAGGAGAGAAGAGGCCAGUGUGAGGAGGCACCUGGGAGAAGCAGACGGGAGCCCAAGCAGGAGGAGGGAGAGGGAAGCAAGAGGGCUGAGGAGUUCCCAGGUGUCUACCCCGAGGACAAGAUGGUCCUGAGGUGAAGCCCACUGCUCAGGAAAGGGCCUGGCAGAGGGUCGGAGCAGUCUGAGGGCACUGGGUUAGAGCAUCAAAGAGGAAUGAAGAAAAGGAUUGUGGUGCCCUAGUGAGGGCCUGAAACACUAUGAAUUUGUGUCUUCCUUCAAAGCUCAGCUCUGGGGCCACCUCUUCUAGGAA
rnacentral:lncRNA from 1 species